GACGCACGCUGGCGGCGUGCCUAAUACAUGCAAGUAGAACGCAGUUGCGAACGGGUGAGUAACCCGUAGGUAACCUGCCUCAUAGCGUGGGAUAACUAUUGGAAACGAUAGCUAAUACCGCAUACUGUGAGAUGGACCUGCGUUGUAUUAGCUAGUUGGUGAGGUAAAGGCUCACCAAGGCGACGUUACAUAGCCGACCUGAGAGGGUGAUCGGCCACACUGGGACGAAGAGACGUACCAGACUCCUACGGGAGGCAGCAGUGGUGAAUAUUGCACAAUGGGCGCAAGCCUGAUGCAGCCAUGCCGCGUGUACGAAGAAGGCCGUCGGGUUGUAAAGUACUUUCAGCGGGGAGGCGUUACCCGCAGAAGAAGCACCGGCUAACUCCGUGCCAGCAGCCGCGGUAAUUC
rnacentral:rRNA from 1 species